rnacentral:rRNA from 1 species
UACGUAGGGUGCGAGCGUUAAUCGGAAUUAUUGGGCGUAAAGAGCUCGUAGGCGGUGUGUCGCGUCGGCCGUGAAAACCUGCAGCUUAACUGUGGGCUUGCGGUCGAUACGGGCAUCACUGGAGUUCGGCAGGGGAGACUGGAAUUCCUGGUGUAGCGGUGAAAUGCGCAGAUAUCAGGAGGAACACCGGUGGCGAAGGCGGGUCUCUGGGCCGA